UGUGGUAUGCAAGUUUUAUUGGACAAAAAAUGCCAUCCAAGUAUGGGCUCCUCCUAACUGGUGUGAGCUGAGCUCUGCCUAUGAUAAUGGCCGAGUUGGAGCUCACACCAGUGGAGGACUCCAUACAAACUGGAAUGGAGGGGCCUUCCUUAUAUUCUAACCUCAUUUUCAAGCUUAUCAUGAUGAAAGAGUGAGUGCAAAGGAGACUGGCCUUGUAAUUACAGGGCCAUGGUGUUCAAAAGAUAGCAGGAGGCUAAUUGCUAGAGGAAGAGAAGCUGCAAGGAAGAAUUCUGGAGAAUGUCAUCCCCAACAACUAACCUGAUGGUGCUUUCAACCCUGUUGCAGUUGAAAACAAAAAUCGAGCCUAAUGAGAGAUAAUAAACAUUGCAUUAUUAGUUGUUAUUAUACAGAGAGGAAUUGCAUGCAUGUUUCAGUUUUUUUAUAAGUAUAUGAAACUGUUACAUCUUUACUGAGAGUGAAAGAGUGCAGCAUUAUUCAGUUUCAUAUCUUGUUUGACAAUUAAUAAACAUACAAGACAAUUAUGUGAUA